GACGAACGCUGGCGGCGUGCCUAAUACAUGCAAGUCGAGCGAAGGGACGAGAUGCUUGUUGCUCUGAGGUUAGCGGCGGACGGGUGAGUAACAAGUGGAUAAUCUACCUAUCAGACUGGGAGAACAUCGGGAAAACAGAGCUAAUACCGGGUAAUAUUUUGAACCGCACGGUUGAAGAGUGAAAGAAGGUCUUGCUGUCACUUGGAGAUGGACCCGCGGUGCAUUAGCUAGUUGGUAAGGUAACGGCCUACCAAGGCAGCGAUGACUAGCCGACCUGCGAGGGUGGUCGGCCACCCUGGAACGGAUACGCGGCCCCGACUCCUACGGCGGGAGGCAGUAGUGAAUCUUACGCAAUGAUCGAAGUCCUGCUGGUGCAGCGUCGCGUGGUGGAGGAUGGUCUCCGGCUCGUUAUACUCUUUUUUUGCGAAUGAAGCUAGGUGGAAUUGACUGUGCACGUCUUGACGGUACCUAAUCAGAAAGCCACGGCUAACUACGUG
rnacentral:rRNA from 1 species